ensembl:lncRNA
AAGCCACCCGGGUUUUUUGUUGUUUUUUUUUUAAUGAAAUGACCCCCCCUGGAAGGGUGCGGACUGCAGAUGGACGGCGCUUAAAAAACGUUUGUGAACCCAAACGGGUGCAAAACUCUUCGCGCUGCAGGAAAAAGGCGCUGCUGCGGUGCUUCCCCCCGCGAUGGCAGAGGGAAAUCCGAGCAAUGCGAUGAGUUGAUUUCGCUCCCCCCCACUCCAACCUCCCCCCCCAAAAAAGACACACAGCCCCGCUCUUAAAAGCGCAGCAGCAGAGAAAAUAAAGCGAAGCCAAAAUCGAGGGUGCGGCCGCCGAUCCUCGGCUUGAAGGCAAAAGUCGCCGAUUUUCUGCGAGUGAUGCUUCGGAGAGAGGAAAACCAAAGAAAUCCGCGUUUGGAGAACCCGGGGAGAGGAACCGAAGGGCUCCGGGUGGGGGGGAUAUGGGGGGGGGGGGGGGGGAAUAUUUCGGAAGGAAAACGCUCAUCUCUGUGCUGCGAAUUUGCCCGGAGAGAGGAAAGGGAGAGAUUUCUUUUUCUUCCCUUUUUGAGCGGCGUUUUUCGCCUUCCGAAACUCGUGGGAAGGUUUGCAGAAAGUAACGGCUUCGUUCCCCGAUUAUAAAUGAUAACCGAAUCAAAACAGACGAUGAAACGCCCGGGGUGAAGGAAAGUCCUCCCGCCGAUCGCCGUGCGGGAUAUUUGCCGGGUUUGGUUUUGGUUUUCGGCCGUUGGCAGUAAAUGGAAAAUAACAAAACCACUCAAAGAAUCAAAUCCUGAUGGCUGAGGGAGGAAUGAGGGAUGGGACGUAGGAAUGCAGCGAGCAGCGACCCGCACGGAGGUGGGCAAAGCGGCUCAGCCGCCGAGCUGCAAAUUCAACCGCUGGAAGGGCUUUUCCCAAUUAAAGGAAUAAUUGUCCCCCCCCUCUCCCCCCCCCAGCACCGCAAUCGCUUUGCUCCGUGCGGCCGCGCCUCUCAUGGGCUCGGGGCGGAGGGGGGUCCGGGCUCGGUGCCCCCUCCCAAAGCCCCGCAGGAUGCUGUGGUAUUUGGAGGGGGUUUAUCAUUUCAACGGGCUUGAAAACCCCGUUCAGGGGGGAAACGUCGAUUCCUGCUUUCAUUCCCUCGCGCUCACGUUGAGGGUUGGGGGCUGUCGGUGUUCAGAAGGCAAACGUGGAAAUAAAACAAAAAGGCGAUGUAGGGGAAGGAAAGCGGAGCUCGGCCCAACUGGGGAGACCGAGAGAGGGUUUGGAGGGAGGGGGAAAACGAACUCAUUCCGAGAGGACGGGAGGGGGAAGAGCGGAGCCGCUGUAACUUCACGGGGCGCCGCGGAGGGGAACGCCGGCAAUGCCCCCCACCCCCCACCCCCCCACGCCAUAAUCCUCCCCCCGGAGGGGACCCCGCGACACCCCCCGCGUUCAUCGCUGCUUUGCAAGGGAGAAGAAAAAGCAAAAAACAACCCCAAAAACCCGAACGGCUGCGCUUAGAAAUCCGCGUGUAACUCGAAGAGCAACGAGGGGGCAACUCGCGUGCGCCGGGAAAUCUCUGCUUUAUUGGGUCCUUAAAACGAAAUGGAAUACAAGAAGGCGACGGUUCCCUCGAAAUAACUCCGCCGAGAGAUAGGGAGCGCCCCGAACGGUCCCCAGGUGCCCCCCCCCGACCCCCACCGCCCGGCUUUUAGACCCGAAUCGGCGCUGCGGGUUCAGCGCACCGCUCAGAAACGCUCUUUCUAUCUCUCAGCCCUCAUUGCCUCCGUGGCUGGGGUGAUAGGUUGCCAUAUUUGCAUAUAUGGUAAUGAGCUUCUAAUUGCCAAGCUGCUGAGCUUUGCUGAUCGAUUUCUUGCAAUACAGAGGCUACGUGGAGGCUCCUCGGCCGCUCCUAUAUAUCCUUACGCCGGGCUCGGCCCCCCUCUCCUCCAGCGUCGGCUCCGGCCGUGGGGCCGCAGCGAAGACCCGCGUCCGCUCCGGGGGAUGCAGAGCCACCUCCGCUCCUCCUUUGCUGCGGCGCUGGGGAUGCCGUUGACUCCACCAGGUAUGUGCAAAGUCCCACCCUGUCACCAUCCCUCCCAAAUGUCAAUUUACACUCCAUCUGUGCUCUCCUAAGGAAGCAUCUAAAGCAUCUUCCUAAGGAAGUUUGCUUCCUCAGCACCGUGAUAUGAUAAUGAUGCUGCAGUCUCAGUCAUUGGCAAUAAAGCGGCUGUUGGCGCCGGGGCGGCUGCACCCACCAACCUCUCACCACGUGUGCAUUCAAUUCAUUAAAAAAUCAAUAUUGGAAAUCAUGGUAAGAACGAAAACCCCCCAUUUCCAGCUUUCUGGAAUAGCGUCUAUACUUGGAAAUAGAAAGCAACUGGAGGUGCACUCAGCAGCAGAGCAUGGCUGGUAGAUUCCCAGCUAGAGGACAGGGGGUAAAUACAGAAGCACACAUUUUUAUUCCUCUCUCAUCCUCAUUUUGGUAAGGGGGGGUUCACUACUCUCUUCCUUUAUAUUUUGACACUCGAGGCUUGCAGAAAUGCUCAACAUUAUAGCUUGCAAAGCGGCCUGGGAUCAGGUGAAAGACAUAUAGAGAGCACGCAUUCCAACGCAUGGAAACACGAUACUAUCAAUGCUAAUCAAUAAAAGCCUAACCCUAACCCUUACGAAUGACUUAGCCAUAUGCUGUGCAUGCACCUUGGCCCCCUGCAGCAGGCACGGGGCUCUGCCCUGGGGUUGUUGCUUCGAGCCCAGCGUGGCCUUGGUGUGCUUGGAGCAUCCCAGGCGCAUUGCAGCGCUGCUGCAUCGCGGCCGCUGUUUCCCAUGCGCUCCGUCCCUCCCAGGUGAUAACACCACGAGAAACAGUGUCACUUUUUCUUUUAUUUACUGCUUUAUUCCCCUGAUAACAAAAAAAAAAAGAAAAAAAAAGAAAAAGAGAAGGCUGGGAUUUCAGUGAUGUUAUUUUUUUUGGCUGGGGGUGAUGGGAUGGUGGCUCUGCGCCCUCCUGGAUGCCAAUGGCCAAACCUUUGGAGGGUGCCAUCACCCUUUGCCCAUGCACCACGGUGACGUAUUUCACGUCUGUUUGAUGGGUUUCUUUCCCCUCCCUUCCCUUUUUUUUUCCCCUUUUUUUUUUUUUUUCCCUCCCUCCAUUUCUGCAUUUCAGCCUUUGUCUCAUCUCCCACCGGCGCCUAACGAAGGGGCAGCCACUCCCACGCCAAUGGGGUUUUUGUUGUUCUUGUUUUCCCGGUGCUUUGUUCCCCUUUCCACCCUCUCUGUGGCCCUCAUCCUACGCUUAUGGGGAUCCCAGUAAGGGCACGGGGCUGGGGUGCCUGGGGAGGGAUGGAGAAGCACAAAGCCCAGGCACGACCAGGGCUCUUGUUGUCAUGGUUGUGAGCGAAAGAGUUAACCCAUUAGCAAUUCUGAGCCCUUCUUCCGAUAGUUAAACCUGAUUUGCAUGCAUUUGCAUAAUGAAUGUCAUUUGCAUUCCUGGAGGUUGGCUACUUCUGUGGGAAAAGUCAAAGCGGGAUUGCAGGGAGGGCGAAAAAGGGGGGUGUGUGUGUGUGGGGGGGGGGAGGUCGGUGAAGAAUGGAGGGAAGAUUUCCCCGCGCCCCACGCGCAUCCCUGCCCCCUCCGCUGUCCUCGCCCAAACGCUGCAUGUCUUUUCCUUUUCCCCCCAUUUUUUCCCCCCUCGAUGCCUUCCUGCCUCUCCCUUCCAUAGGAUAAAGCCAUAGCAUAAAGCCAAGGGCGGAUGGGCCGCGUCGAGGCGAGCGCAUCCUUCCUGCUUACCCCCACCUCCUUCCCCCCCCCCUCCCUCCUUCCCCUCCUUUAAUUUCCCCCUUCUAAUUCCAUCUUGGCUCCUGUUCCCUGCACCCUCGUAUGCAGGGGGCUGCGGCCCUCUCCCUCCCCUCUCCGUGGGUGCAUGCGUGCUGGAACGGUAGCAGAAAGGGAAAGAAAAGGUGCGAGCCACCAUUUUAGGCAGCCGACAUAAAAUGGCCGAUGCUCGCUCGUGGCUGCAGCCGCCCCACAUCUCCGCCCGUGGUCCCAUAUCCCAUCAUGGCCCCACACCCCACUCGUGCCCCGUGUGCUCGCCCUAGCCUUGCUCACCCACCUUUUCCCUUUGCCACCCAUGGCGUUCGCCCCAGCAUCCCUCCCAGAUCCUUUCCUUUGGAUUCAUUUCCCAUUCCUGCAGUGGGGAUGAGACCAACGUGAGCAUCCGGUCCUUUCUACACCACGUUUUGGGGUGGUCGUUAAAAUUUGCUCUGUGCCACGGGGGAUAUUUUGGCUUCCUUUGCGCCAAACGAUCUCGCAGUGUCUUCAACCCACAUUCGUAUUAUCAUGUAUUGCAGAAAUACUAACGAAGCAGCUGUUUGAUUAUUUUUUUUUUCCCUUUUAUUGGACUGAGAACGUUUUGUGGCUGCUUAAAGAUUAGGGGGGGGGGGAGGGAGAGGGGGAGUAAUAUCAGUGCAAAAUACAACCAAGAUCAUCCUUGCCCUGCAACGUGGCCCAUAGGGCUUCAUGCGCCCAAUGGGCGGUUUGAUGGACAAAGAGGAUGGCACUGAGGUCAGAUAGGAGCAGGAAGAUCUCCCGACCUGCUGGGAGCUUUUUGAUUGAUCGAUUCUGUUCUGAUACUCGAGGUAUUUAUUUUGGGGUGCUUUACUUGCAGAGCCCAUUGUGAGUGGUUGCUGGUUUGGUGGUGACCUCGGUGCUCCAUUAGCUUGCAUUGGUGCUCCCUAAUGUCUCCCCAUUUAUCUGCUGCUGAGAGAGCAAGAAACCUGAAAGUCUGAAUGUGUGGGAUGAGCUGAAGCCCAGAUCUCUUUAUAUCCCAUCAGGUUGGAGCAUGAGCUCCAUCACCCCGUGCCCAUUUUGGGGCUGAGGCCACCAUCUCCAUGCAGGCAUUGAUCCCACAGAGGCAGCCCAGCACCUCCAGCCCCGCGUGUGCAGGAAUGGGAACUCAUUCCCUAACACCCACAAAAAUGCAUUAAGGCUCUUAGCUGCUCAGCUGAGCUGGGGCCGCUCAGCUGAUUUCUCACUGCUUGGAUUGGGGGGGGGGAUUUUUGUGCCUUUUUCUUGCUUUUUAUGCUGGGAUGCAGGAGUGGAGUGGACGUGGGCUUGGGGAUGGAGCUUUGGCAUCGCUGCUCUGUGUUGCUGAGCCUCCAUCCUUGGCUUAUUGCUUCCUUUCCAUUGCUUGCUCCUCUCUGGUUUCUAUACUGUUAUCAAUGAUUUAUGGGGCUGAAGGGCAAGAGAAAAGGAUCUUUCUCUGGCCCCAUUGCCUUCCCCUGUUAAACAUGCCAAAUAAAUUUGGCACUGGGCACUUAAAUCUAUGUGUAGCCCAUGAAUUGCCAUGGAUGGAAGCAAGGUUUAUGUGGAGGGGAAAUACACAAGGCAGAACAAUAUGUAAAAAAUAAAAUAAAUCCGUGCUGGCAACCCAGAACAGCACAGAGCAAUGGGGUGGGGAAAGCAGCAUGGGGUCCUACUGAGCUCCAGCAUCACCGCUGCAGGGCUGCCUCGGAUGGCUAUGCCACAGCACUCAGCAUCCCCAGAUCUGCACAAGCUCCGGGUCUUGGGGCUGGGCUUCAUUUUUUUUUUUCAGCAGAUCCAGUGGCAGGGGGAAGCCUAGGGACCACGGCUCCCCAUGAGGCAGGGUUCUUUCGAAUGAGGUUUGUAGCAUUUGGCUCUGCCUUGUAACUCCUGGGCUGGAGGUCCACGGGGAUGAGGGAUGCUGGGUGAAUUCUGUGGCCAUAAUCAGCUGUAGUGCAGCUGGGGGGUUCUGGGGCUGACAUUUAUCCCGCUCUCAUCCCCUUUUCUCUUUCUCCCCACUAGUGCAGACAGUGGCUUCCCCUGCUGUGAUGCCCCACUCGUUUCCUGGGCAGCCAAGAGCAAUGCUUGAGUCCUGGUGGAAGUUCAUUCAGAAUUGCCUGGAGCGGAGGCUGGAGAGGAAAACCACAACCACAGCAGAGCCUGGACACGGGGAGCUGCUAGCAGGACCCAUCUCAGGGACAGUCACUGUGUGUACCUUCCUCCAUCCUCCUCCUGCUCCCAGCAGCUGAUGGCCUGGAGCAGCACAGAGCAGGCCUGGCAUCGGGCUAUAGGGACACCAGGAGCACCCCGGGGAUAGGACCCAACACCAUGCCACACUGGUGGAGAACACAAAGCUGGAAGAGGGGAAAAAAAAAAAUCAACAGAAGAAGAAGAAAAGAAUGGAAACGAAAGUCUCCAAACUCAGGAGAUCUGUGUUAAUUGCUUACGAACGUCUCCAUCCCAAAAGUUAUCCGAUUGAUGUUGUCGUGCUUUUUUUUUGACAGCCUGUCUGUUAUGUAUUUUUUUUUAAAUAUUCAUGCACCGAAAUCUAAUUACUAGGCAAAUUUAAUGAUAAUGAAAUGAAGGCACUUUAGCAGAAAGCAUAGGGCCUUGUUAAUAUUUUCUCAGUCUCUGUCUUGCUCACAUUUUUUUUUUCACCGCCGCCUUUCUUGCAGUAUAAAAGAAUUGCCAAAAAUAAAACUUGGAUUGCUGAAGAUGUUUGUGGUGGCUCUUUUUAUAAUGAUGGGGGAUUUGUGAGGUGAUUAAAGGUGCUGGGCAAAAAAAUCGAGUGAGCCAAAGCUAAUCGGGUGAGGCAGAUGAAGUAUUGAUGUUAGGGAACGUUAUGGGGGAAGACGGGUGCAUGCAUGGAUGGAUGGAUGCAUGCAUGGAUGGAUAGAUGGAUGGAGGGAUGGAUGGAUGGAGGGAUGGGUGGAUGCAUGGAUGGGUGGAUGGAUGGGUGGAUGGAUGCAUGGAUGGGUGGAUGGAUGUAUGGAUAGGUG